UACGUAGGGGGCAAGCGUUGUCCGGAUUUACUGGGCGUAAAGCGCACGUAGGCGGCUUUGUAAGUUAGAGGUGAAAGCCCAGAGCUCAACUCUGGAAUUGCCUUUUAGACUGCAUCGCUUGAAUCAUGGAGAGGUCAGUGGAAUUCCGAGUGUAGAGGUGAAAUUCGUAGAUAUUCGGAAGAACACCAGUGGCGAAGGCGGCUGACUGGACAUGUAUUGACGCUGAGGUGCGAAAGCGUGGGGAGCAAACAGG
rnacentral:rRNA from 1 species